UUCAGACGUCAUGACACUGGGCUGCUAUCUUCUUCAUUGUGCAUCUCUUAAGAAUAUGGACUUUCUCCUGUGUACUUCAAUACCAUUAAAACACCUAAGACAAUUAACAAAAAUUACAUAAUAUCUUUUUAAAAAAUUAAUUAAUUUUUUUUGAGACGACGUUUCAUUCUUGUUGCCCAGGCUGGAGUGCAGUGAUGUGAUCUUGGCUCACUGCAACCUCCGCCUCCCACGUUCAAGCAAUUCUCCUGCCUCAGCCUCCCGAGUAGCUGGGAUUACAGGUGCCUACCAUCAUGCCCAGCUAAUUUUUGUAUUUUUAGUAGACACGGGGUUUCACCAUGUUGGCCAACCUGGUCUUGAACUUCUGACCUCAGAUAAUCCACCUGCCUUGGCCUCCCAAAGUAUUGGGAUUACAGGUGUGAGCCAUGGUGCCUGAACAAAAAUUACAUAAUAUCUAAUAUCCAGUCCUUAUUUGAAUUUUUCCUAUUGCUCCUCAAAUAAGUCUUUCAUUAUUUUAUAGUCUUUUAUUACUUUAUCCAAAAUCCAGUUAGGUUUCAUCAUUGCAUCUUUUGCAUGACUGUUUAGUUUACUGAAGAUUGUUCUUAAAAUUUGUUUAAGAAUGUCCUUUUUAAAGAGGAGAUUACAUGGGUUUUACCUAUAUUUUCUACUAGUUUAAAAUUUCUUUUUGUAGUAACACACUUUUAUAUUGAACUGGAAUUUAUUUGGGUUAUGGUUUCUGCUGGAUGUCUCAGAUUGUUUUUCUUUCUAAAUAGCUUAUUUCAUUCCAGCAAAACUGUCUUAGGAUCUGGCCCAUUGAUAUUAUACCAAUUCCAUAUGUAUAUAUAAUUGUAGAUUUGUAAUGGAUUUUAAUAUAUAGUAGGUCUAAUCACCAUUAUCGUCAUUUCCAUUGUUCUUUUUUUGAAUAGUUGCACAUGUUUCUUCCCUUAAAUAAAUAUUAUAAUCUUUUCUUUCCACAUUGUAUAAAGAAUAGCACAUUUGUAUGUUCACUGAGAUUCUAGUAACCCUCUAUAACUAUCUUUUACUAAAGUUUCAUUGUUUUCUUGCUUGAUAACUCUCAGUACUUGAUAGGAAUUUUAAUCUAUAUUAAUGUCACUCAAUAGGUUUCAAAGCUUAGGUGAAUAUGUAUAGAAUAUUGUCUUAGGUGAACAUAUAUAGGUAAAUAUUUAUUGUUUGUUCACUCAUAAAUAUUCUAAAUUGUAUUCCAACAUGAAGCCACAGAGAGCCACAACUCUGCACAACAUUGACUUCUGAGAGAGGAGGAAGGAAGAAACCAGAUAAAGAAAUUGAGGCAGACAGAGGUUAGAGGAUUUGAACUGAUGUUGCCAGGACUUGAAACCAGACAGUGGCUUAUAUUAGAGUCUGUGCUCUCAGCUACCAUACUAUCUGCUGUUCUGCUGAUGACCUGGGGAAAGCUUCAUUCACUGGCAAAAGAGAACAAAGGACCAUGGAAUGUGGAACCUUGCCCAGCCUGCUGCUCAGGAGGCGAUUGCUCAAGGCUGUCUUAUGCAGAGGAGGUCAACAGUUGACCCAUGAACCAUUUAAACUGGAAGGAAGAAUUAACCAAUACCCUGAGAGAUUGACUACAACUACUUUUCCCUGAAAGUUGGAGUGCAGAGUACAGGAGAGGAAGGCCACUUACUAAUUUUCCUGCUUCCUUCACCAGUCCUCUACCUCUCCAUACCUAAGGUCCUUCACUCAAUAUACUCAAGUCUUCUCUGCUAUGACUGCAUUCCCACAUGCCACGGCAUAUAAAAGGUAGGAUAAGGAGUUCCAUCACUUCACACAAGCAUCUACCAGGAGGAGGAAAAUAAAAACAACAUUUUACCAUCAACUUCGCCACUUGCUGUGAAACCGAAGGCUUGUUAUAUAAGCGUUUGGGGACAUAAUAAAUGUGACUUACAUAUGUCAUCUGGGAGACAUGGUGUUUAUAUUUCUUGAGUUGAAUUGGGGCAGAAAAAAAUGGGCAUCUAAAAUGCUCAAUAAUUGAGAGAAACUUUAAAAGUUAUUCCUCACCCUAGUUUGUCUAAUAUCUAUCUUUAUCAUCUUAUUCGUCAGUUCCUUGGGAAAUUAAGAGAUUUAGAAAUUUCUACUGAAAUAAAAUGGAUUGUUUUGGAGACUGUUUCUGAAUAGUUGCAGAACUCCCCCAAAGUCCCAACACAAGUCUCAUUCCUCGUUUCCUCCUGACCCCCAGUAUUCUAGCUGAUUCAAGUUCACGCCCACAUCUUCUCUUCAGACGUGCAGUUCCUCAGAGAGUCUUCUUUGUGGCUCCUAGACUUAUUAUGUCAAGUACUGGAACACCAUGAACUUGCUAAGGAGCAAAUGCACACGUGUUCUACACC